UUUUCAAAUAAGUCUUUAUUCAUAUUAUUUAAUAACAGAUUUAAAAUGUAAUACUGAUGUACAAUCAGUCAGGAGACAUGACUAAACACCAACGCAUACACACAGGAGAGAAGCCUUAUAGCUGUGAUCAGUGUGGGAAAAACUUCAAUCACUUCAAUUGGAGUGUGACUUACACCCCUCAGAGUAUUUGUGCCUUAAAAGAGGUCAACCGUGGAUCUGUCCUGCUCUUACACAUAUCCCAGAGGUCAUACAGUCACAGAGACAUCGUUUGAUUACAAUGGUUGUCGUUUGUUAUUUGUUUUUAAUCACAGGCCCGAAGGCAAAAGUUCAAACUAUAGUGACAGACUGACACUGACCUGUAGCACCACCUGUACUCUGACUGACAACCCCACCUACAUCUGGUACAAGAACAGACGUCUCACCAACCCAAAUACCAAAAUAACUACCUAGACCCAGUCAGCAGUGAGGAUACAGACAGAUUCUCCUCUCUGCUGAAGAGACUCACUGUCACAUACUGCAGGGAGGGAGAUGCAACAACGGCCUCGAGAACAGCAGGAAGUGUGUUGGUCUUUCUCUGUUCCCGGACAGGUUUGGCCCCAUUCAUAAUAUUUCAGUGAACAUUUUUCUCCUAUGCUUUGCAAUUCAAUCUAUAGACAUUUUUAAUAAAGGAAAGUUGUUUCUCAA